AAAGAAAGAGCGAAAACUUCAAAUUAAUCGAAGUGAUUCUUUGAUAGUUUCGGCUCCAUCGAAGGAUCAAAAUUCUUUAAAAAGCAGAUCCUUCAAGGAUCUGAUCUCUUUUUAUCCUGAAAAUUCAAAAGUGAAGGUCUAUUGUUAGAGUCCAAUUCAAUUGGUAGUCGACAAAAAAGUGCGCAGUGAAUAAUUAAAAGUUAUAAGUACGGUUAGUAGCUACAAACGAGUAUAAAACUUAAGGCUAAUGUUAAUGUUAUAAAUAGGUUAAUCGCUUAAAUAGUGAGAACAUUCAAUUCACAAAAGUACGCAAACGAAAAAAAACAAGGAAAAAAGGUCCACGAAGGGCCUUUUUUCUUUCUUUCGGACAGCUGAACCAGUGAAAGCGGACGGGAACCCUCUGUGGUCGGUCGUUGUACCUGUCGGGAACCAGACGGGAACCCUCUGUGGUCGGUCGUUGUACCUGUUGGGAGCGUGCCUGUCGAGGUGUGGAGUGGAGAAUCAGACCAAGAACCCAGUCCCUUCUUCCGGUUCGUCUACGGAUAGCCAAAACCGAUACCGCCAAGCUCGACAGACCUCCACCAUCAAGCAAGCCGCUUGCCAACCGACCCAUUCGUCCCGCCGCUAUAGUCAGCAUCGCAUGAAGCAAUUCGCCUCUGGUGGAUACCGCCAUUUUGCCAGAUCGUGCCCGGCAGAGUGAAGACACCUCUCCUUCGGCAUUUCAUCAUCGCUUGUGGAUGAUGCCGAUUCCCUAAAACACAGCAUGCAGACAGCGUAGUGAGCUACACCCACCACCA